UGGAGAUGGUGCUGAAGGGAAAGAAAACAGCAGCUAUAAGAAAACACACACUCUAUGCUAAUCUCCCUCUAAUUUAUGUUUUCAUCUUUCAAGUAUAUCCAUAACCCCUAACAGCAGUGUCUAAUGAAGCAGGCAGUUAAUGAACGGGGUAAAAGGGUGUGCCGUGACGCAAAUCAUGAAACCUGCCAAAAGGGACGAACAUGCCCAAAAAGGGGGCAUG